AUAAAGUUUUAUUCUUGCUUAUGAAUUUGCAUUAAGUUUAUUUUACAUGUAAGUUUUUGCGUGUUUAUUUGUUUAUUCUAAAAGAAUUAACAUUAUUAAUUUUUAAUCGCAGUAUUUAAUUUUAUGGGUCAAGGAGAUUUGGAUCUAGUGAUUUUAAUAGUACCGGCAAAAAACGUGCCAGCCGCCGCGGUUAGACGAGGGGUGCGAGCAAAUAUUUUCGGUAUAGCAGUUAAAUGAUUAUAUGAGAAGGUAAAAUUGAAUUUAGCAGGUGGAAUUAUAAAUUUAAAUAAUUUCUUUAUGUAUUUUUGAAGCUGUGAAAUUUAAGUUUUAAACUAGGAUUAGAUACCCUAUUAUUUUAAAUGUAAAGUAUAUAUACUUGAGUAGUAAAAGUUAUGGUCUUGAAACUCAAAGAAUUUGGCGGUGUUUUAGUCCUUUCAGAGGAACCUGCCCUGUAAUCGAUAUUCCACGUUAGAUCUUACUUAAUCUGGUUAUUCAGUUUGUAUACCGCCGUCGUCAGAAUGUCCUAUAAGGGUAUAAAUUUUCUUUAAUUUAAAUAUUGAAAAGAUGUCAGGUCAAGGUGCAGUUAAUGAUUAAGAAGAGGUGGGUUACAAUAAAUUUAUUUAUUACGGAUAGUUAGUUGAAAUUAUUGGCUUGAAGGUGGAUUUGAAAGUAAUUUUAUAUAGUAUAGUAUAUUGAUUUUGGCUCUAAAACAUGCACACAUCGCCCGUCGCUCUCGUUAAUUAAUAUGAGAUAAGUCGUAACAUAGUAGGCGUACCGGAAGGUGCGCCUGGAAAGUU
rnacentral:ncRNA from 1 species